UACUCUAAUUUAUAACAUUUCUAUGCAAUGUUACUUGUACAUUUGGCUUUGAUGUUGUUUUAUGUUAUUGUUUGUUGUAAGGUCUGCUUAGGAAGUGGGACAGUGGUUGGUGAAAAAAACCAUGCGUUGAUACCAUGGUGACUCACUUAUCAAUAAGGGUGUGAGUCUCAAAUUUUACCACCACACUCACAAGUUUCUAGAAAUAGAUUGAGAGAGAAUACAUAGAGAGAGAGAGAGAGAAAGUAGCAGGGAGAGGUAACAGACGGCAGUCAGGUGGUUUCAACCUCCGACAACGACAGAGAUAUGGUCGCAUCCUUCACCUCCGACGCCUACAGUCUGAAAUUCGGAAGAUAUUCAAGACUUCGAUUUGUUCGAGCUCUGAGAUACCAAAUUAGAUGGAGACACCAUUUUUGUAGUUAGACUUGCAGUUGCUGGUGUUGCAUCUGCAGGGACGUAUGGAAUCCAAGUUUGGAGUGCAUUUAAGGCUAGACCAGUCACACCUGUAGUUCACAAUUUUUUUCAUGGCAGUUUUCAACCUCAAAAAAAGGAGGAACGGAGUAAGAAGUCUUCAAUUAUGCUACUUCGUACACUGACUCACCGCCACAAUCAAGUAGUAAAUCCUUAAGUAUAACAGGUUUUAACAAGCCGGCUGAAUUUUUUGGCAGCUUGCAGGCGACAUUACCCGGGUCACAUUGCCUCUUGGAAUUUCACCAGCUUGCAAGUAAAAUUUUAUUCGCAACGGGUCAGAUUGCAUAUGGUAGCGUAGAUAUAUUCGCAACAAGUUACUUUUAGUAGUUGUAGCAUAGUGCUAAUAUAUUAUUGUAUAAUACGAGACACAGUUAUUUUGCAACCUGGAAUACUACAGUUAGCAAUCAACAAACUCAUGAAAGGCUUAAACUCAUUUAAGCCUUUAGUAGGCGUCAAGGGAGGUAAGCUCUUUAAUAACAUUAGGAUCUACAUAACACGAACAUAUAUGUUCUGAUUAUACUUUGCAUAUGUUCUCGAGUAACAUUAGACCUUUAUGGCUAUAGAUCUUUCUUUAGUUACGUACUCCCUUGUACGUAACACAUAGCCCAAACUAAUAUCAAUUUCUAAUGCGGCUCUAGCCAUACUGUUUAAAAGGGUUGCUGACAUACAACCACAGAAAUCAGGAUGCAGCCGAUUUCAUCGAGGGCAAGAUACUGAAAACUGGCCAACUGCUGGAUUCAAAGCAAAAUAUUGUUAGGUGAUGUUGGAUCAUGCACAUAAUAUAGGCAAGCCAACUAAGGAGAAAAAGGCCAUAUACGUGGUCUUUUUGUUGGCUAUCCGGAAACUUUGGAAUAGAAGAAAUGAGAAAGUUCAAAGAGUGCUCCUAUGGACGGAUGGGGUCAAAUGUGUUGUUGUAACUUUGUUCAAGUAAUCUUUUGUUUUUUUGUUAUUUUUUAGUCUUGGGGUUUGUUUGUUGGCUUAGCUGCUUGCUAAGUCCAGUUUUUUGUUGUUCGCUACAUACUGAAUUACUAUUUCAGAUAACGCAUUUGUCACGUUAGUUUUUU